UUUGAACCCCCAUGCACACAAAUGAGAUUCACUCCCAGUUACUCAUUUCCUCACACUGACUUUUAAUUAGAAUGGAGAAGAAAGCUAUAUCUUAUAUCUAUGAAGUGAAUAGUGUGGAAAUUCUCUGCAGUGAAAAUAUUCAAUUCAAACCGGUGAACGUUCAUUGGGCAACUUAUAACUGCAUGGGAGAGAAGGUUAUUCCACUGAAGGACAGCCACUGGCAUUAAGAAGUGUUAGUUACAUGUACACAAGAUCAUGGGUCCUCAGACAAGAAGGCACUGAAUAAAAAGGUCCCACAAAGAUGCAGCAGUGAAUUCUCACCCAGCAGUCUUCACCUCAUACCAGCCAUUCAAGCAUCAAGAUUACUACUUGCUGGCUUCAAAAGGCAUGGUGACUUUGUGGUUCAGGAUCUAUUUUUAAGAUGAGCAAAAUGCAGUUCAAAGCAGCUAAAAACUGCUAUGGUGACUUCCAUCCCCUCCAAAAGACUAACUUUAUAAGAUGUUAUUAAAAGUUUCAUUUUUUUUCAAAAAAGUUUACUGCUAAAGUUUGACUGCUGUCGAUGUAUGGAAUAAAGCCAAACAAGAUUAAUAAGUCUGCAGGGAAAUAGAUAUGAGUCUUUUUUUUUUUUUCAGAGUUGUGGAACUCACUAACAUUGUUUCUUCAGAAAAAUGUAGCAUGCAAUUUUUAAGUCAGGAAUAUUGGUGACAACAUUCUUUGUACAAUUCUACUCCUUCUUCAUUAGUCUGCCAUUCCUGCACCAGAAGAAUGUGUCCUGGAAUUGUAAACAUGAACAUGGAAUAAAUUGCACCACCAUCUCAUUACUGUCACAAACCGGAAAUCUGGACAUCACCCUUAACAGAUUCCCUCUUCUCAUUUUUAAGUUAAUCAUUGCAUUUUUCUGAAUCUCUCUAUGAAAUAUCAGUCUCGUUUUUCCAUUUUUCCCCAUUCCUACUGCCAAUACCAUAGCUGAAUCCACGCCCAUUUCAGUUUCUGAACAUCUGGGCUAGCUCAAUCUCCAAAACAUAUUUUACUUAGCAGUUGGAGUGACAUUGUUAAAAACACAAAUGUAAAUCAAUUAUCCCUACCCAGCUCCACCAAACAUACACAUAAAACUGUCAAAACCUUCAAUGGUCAUGAGCAUUUCCAACUUGUUUAAUUGUUUCUCUAAUAUCUUGUAGUUCUCCUUCAUCAUCUUCAUUGCAAUUGCAAUUAAUUUGGUAUAUGUUAGUAAUUUUUUUAAGGGACAGGAUUUUGCGAUAUUACCCAGGCUGGUUUUGAAUUCCUGGCCUCAAGCAAUAAUCCCACCUCAGCCUCCAAAGUAGCUGGAACUACAGGUUCUUGCCACUACUCCCAUUAAUUAUGUUAAUGAUGAUUGUAAUAAAUCUCUUCUCAGUGCUGUAAUUGUUAAGUCAGACCAUCUGAAUUCAAAAGCUAUUUGUGCCCUUUAUAAGUUUAAUAAACUUGGGAUGUGCUUGA
rnacentral:lncRNA from 10 species